ensembl:miRNA Mir654 microRNA 654
CCCGGUAAGUGGGAAGAUGGUGAGCGGCAGAACAUAUGUGUUUCUCAUGUCAUAUGUCUGCUGCUCAUCACCUUUGGGUCUCUG